CGCGGCCUAUCAGCUUGUUGGUGAGGUAAUGGCUCACCAAGGCGACGACGGGUAGCCGGCCUGAGAGGGCGACCGGCCACACUGGGACUGAGACACGGCCCAGACUCCUACGGGAGGCAGCAGUGGGGAAUAUUGCACAAUGGGCGAAAGCCUGAUGCAGCGACGCCGCGUGAGGGAUGACGGCCUUCGGGUUGUAAACCUCUUUCAGCAGGGAAGAAGCGAAAGUGACGGUACCUGCAGAAGAAGCGCCGGCUAACUACGUGCCAGCAGCCGCGGUAAUACGUAGGGCGCAAGCGUUGUCCGGAAUUAUUGGGCGUAAAGAGCUCGUAGGCGGUCUGUCGCGUCGGAUGUGAAAGCCCGGGGCUUAACCCCGGGUCUGCAUUCGAUACGGGCAGACUAGAGUGUGGUAGGGGAGAUCGGAAUUCCUGGUGUAGCGGUGAAAUGCGCAGAUAUCAGGAGGAACACCGGUGGCGAAGGCGGAUCUCUGGGCCAUUACUGACGCUGAGGAGCGAAAGCGUGGGGAGCGAACAGGAUUAGAUACCCUGGUAGUCCACGCCGUAAACGGUGGGAACUAGGUGUUGGCGACAUUCCACGUCGUCGGUGCCGCAGCUAACGCAUUAAGUUCCCCGCCUGGGAGUACGGA
rnacentral:rRNA from 1 species